rnacentral:rRNA from 1 species
GAUGAACGCUGGCGGCGUGCCUAAUACAUGCAAGUCGAGCGAACGGACGAGAAGCUUGCUUCUCUGACGUUAGCGGCGGACGGGUGAGUAACACGUGGAUAACCUACCUAUAAGACUGGGAUAACUUCGGGAAACCGGAGCUAAUACCGGAUAAUAUUUUGAACCGCAUGGUUCAAAAGUGAAAGACGGUCUUGCUGUCACUUAUAGAUGGAUCCGCGCUGCAUUAGCUAGUUGGUAAGGUAACGGCUUACCAAGGCAACGAUGCAUAGCCGACCUGAGAGGGUGAUCGGCCACACUGGAACUGAGACACGGUCCAGACUCCUACGGGAGGCAGCAGUAGGGAAUCUUCCGCAAUGGGCGAAAGCCUGAUGGAGCAACGCCGCGUGAGUGAUGAAGGUCUUCGGAUCGUAAAACUCUGUUAUUAGGGAAGAACAUAUGUGUAAGUAACUGUGCACAUCUUGACGGUACCUAAUCAGAAAGCCACGGCUAACUACGUGCCAGCAGCCGCGGUAAUACGUAGGUGGCAAGCGUUAUCCGGAAUUAUUGGGCGUAAAGCGCGCGUAGGCGGUUUUUUAAGUCUGAUGUGAAAGCCCACGGCUCAACCGUGGAGGGUCAUUGGAAACUGGAAAACUUGAGUGCAGAAGAGGAAAGUGGAAUUCCAUGUGUAGCGGUGAAAUGCGCAGAGAUAUGGAGGAACACCAGUGGCGAAGGCGACUUUCUGGUCUGUAACUGACGCUGAUGUGCGAAAGCGUGGGGAUCAAACAGGAUUAGAUACCCUGGUAGUCCACGCCGUAAACGAUGAGUGCUAAGUGUUAGGGGGUUUCCGCCCCUUAGUGCUGCAGCUAACGCAUUAAGCACUCCGCCUGGGGAGUACGACCGCAAGGUUGAAACUCAAAGGAAUUGACGGGGACCCGCACAAGCGGUGGAGCAUGUGGUUUAAUUCGAAGCAACGCGAAGAACCUUACCAAAUCUUGACAUCCUUUGACAACUCUAGAGAUAGAGCCUUCCCCUUCGGGGGACAAAGUGACAGGUGGUGCAUGGUUGUCGUCAGCUCGUGUCGUGAGAUGUUGGGUUAAGUCCCGCAACGAGCGCAACCCUUAAGCUUAGUUGCCAUCAUUAAGUUGGGCACUCUAAGUUGACUGCCGGUGACAAACCGGAGGAAGGUGGGGAUGACGUCAAAUCAUCAUGCCCCUUAUGAUUUGGGCUACACACGUGCUACAAUGGACAAUACAAAGGGCAGCGAAACCGCGAGGUCAAGCAAAUCCCAUAAAGUUGUUCUCAGUUCGGAUUGUAGUCUGCAACUCGACUACAUGAAGCUGGAAUCGCUAGUAAUCGUAGAUCAGCAUGCUACGGUGAAUACGUUCCCGGGUCU